GAGAGAGAGAGAAAGAGAAAGAGAGAGAGAGAAAUGCAUGACAGUCAGACUGCUCCAAGACGACCCAACACUAACAGAGUUUACAGAUGCUGCUGCUUCAAGGUUGUUUUUCUGUGCAGGGAACAGUGAAAUGUGCCAAAGUUAAACUCUUCUGAGCUUGACCCUCUGUUCAAGCUCUCCACUGAAAUUACCCAGCCCCCCAUGCCUUCUUCCCCUUUCCCCUCCAACUCCCUCCUGCCCUGUUCUCUCUCUCUCUCUCUCUCUCUCUCUCUCUCUCUCUCUCUCUCUCUCUCUCUCUCUCUCUCUCUCUCUCCGCUAGCCACCCUCCUAUUCCCUCCUUUCCUGUAGCAGGAAGUUCUCACAGUCGGUGGCCAAUAUUCCCUCUUCACAGCAGAGCAGAGCAGGAGGUGGUUCGGCUUGGUUGAGCUGCAAGCUGGGAUCUUAUAGGGGGGAUUCGCUAUCAACUAGCACCUAGAAUCUAGCCAAUGAAUUUCAAAGGACAACUUCAUCACCAAUGUAAACAAUUUAAAGGGGCGGUGUCACGAGUCAAGACACUGCAUUCAAUUGUUAUUGGGGGGUUGCUAUUUAAACUGGCGGUUAAGGGGACGAGUUGACGGCAGACGCUACUGUCGAUGCCCGUGGCCUGAUAACAGUGAUUAUCAGUGAUUAAGUGGGGCGGCCAACUGUGAAUCUUAAUCAAAUCCACAGGUGAUCCAUUACAGGCGUCUUAUCAAAGCAAGGCUUCGGUAGGGUCUUUCACAAGGAUCUGCACAGUAGCAGGUCGAGACAGGUGAUAUAAUCAAUGCUUCGGUAGGGUCUUUCACAAGGAUCUGCACAGUAGCAGGUCGAGACAGGUGAUAUAAUCAAUGCUUCGGUAGGGUCUUUCACAAGGAUCUGCACAGUAGCAGGUCGAGACAGGUGAUAUAAUCAAUGCUUCAGUAGGGUCUUUCACAAGGAUCUGCACAGUAGCAGGUCGAGACAGGUGAUAUAAUCAAGGACUCGGUAGGGUCUUUCACAAGGAUCUGCACAGUAGCAGGUCGAGACAGGUGAUAUAAUCAAGGACUCGGUAGGGUCUUUCACAAGGAUCUGCACAGUAGCAGGUCGAGACAGGUGAUAUAAUCAAGGACUCGGUAGGGUCUUUCACAAGGAUCUGCACAGUAGCAGGUCGAGACAGGUGAUAUAAUCAAGGACUCGGUAGGGUCUUUCACAAGGAUCUGCACAGUAGCAGGUCGAGACAGGUGAUAUAAUCAAGGACUCGGUAGGGUCUUUCACAAGGAUCUGCACAGUAGCAGGUCGAGACAGGUGAUAUAAUCAAGGACUCGGUAGGGUCUUUCACAAGGAUCUGCACAGUAGCAGGUCGAGACAGGUGAUAUAAUCAAUGCUUCAGUAGGGUCUUUCACAAGGAUCUGCACAGUAGCAGGUCGAGACAGGUGAUAUAAUCAAUGCUUCAGUAGGGUCUUUCACAAGGAUCUGCACAGUAGCAGGUCGAGACAGGUGAUAUAAUCAAGGACUCGGUAGGGUCUUUCACAAGGAUCUGCACAGUAGCAGGUCGAGACAGGUGAUAUAAUCAAGGCCUUGGUAGUGGUUCAAUUACUUUGUAAUUCAGUGUUAACCUGAAG